CUUGGGAAUAAGACAGAGCUUCCUAUUAAGACCACCACAUCUACUCAUCUUUAAGCUGGUGAUUCUCACCAACACAUCUAAGCAUGAAAGAAAUAAAAAUUAUAAGACAAAAAGGAAAGAAAACUCUCAUUACUUAAAGAUGAUAUAAUUACAUAGAAAAUCAAGAAGAUUCCAUGGAUAGGCUUCCCAAAAAACAAUAUGUAACAUACCAGCAACAAAUGGGUCUCGCUCUGCCACACAGGCUGGAGUGCAAUGGCACAGUCAUAGCUCACUGCAACCUCAGCCUUCCACAUUUGCCAAGAGCCCUGAUCCAGGUGAAUUGUGUAAACCUUGCACGUGGAAUUCCCAGCAAAGAAGCUGUAGGGAUCGGGAUAGGGCCUGGGAAGUGUCUGACUUACAGAAACCCGCCAUGUCUUGUUCUCUGCUGGAGACCUCUGCUUCUCCAUCUUGUGAACAUCCACAGGCCCCCUGCACCGUAAUCUUGCCCUCUCACUGUUGACUCAGUCCUCAUGGAAGUUAUAAAAGAACUUGUGUGGAUUAGCUUGCUAAAUACAUCCAAGAUUUGAAGAACUGAAAACAAAAUCAGUAUUAAACCUGCUUUUUAAAAAUGCACCCUUGCAGGGUAACAGUUAACACUUCCGUGGUCUGGAUGAGGAUACGAGAGAGGUAAGGAGCAUGCUGACGGUCACCUAGCCAGUGAAUGUGAACUGUCUGACUUUCUCUGAUUUGCCAUAUCCUUAAACGUGUUUAGAUGCUCUUCCUGGCAUGGAUGUAAAUAAGAGAUUGGAACCUCCUGGAUUGUGUUCAUAAGAGGAGUGUGAUCCUCAUCCUUCUAAACUUUGUCUGGAGUCACAGAAAGCAAGGAAGUUAGAGAAACAUCCUGUCACACAGCUUUGGUACCUGUGUGGGGAGCUAAGAGAUCUGAUGUCCAGUUCCAGUCCUUUAAUGAAUUUCCUCUGUAUCCAUGAGCUAUCUAAGGUCCAUGGGAAACAGUUGAUCUUAUGCCAACCAAGGGGCAUGGACCAGAUGCUCUCAAGAGUCUCUCAGUCAGCUCUUUGCUGAGGGACCUUAUGCAUGGAGGAAAGUGCACACAUCGCUAAGUGGAUAGCUUGAUGGAAUAGUUGUUACAAAAUGGACACACUUCUGCAAUCAGCACCUUGAUUAAUAGAAAAUUACCAGCACCCCAGAGCCCUCGUCCCCUCAUGCUCCAGGAGCAACCAGUAUCCUGCCUUGUGAUGCCUUUGUUUAGUUUGUUUUUAUGAAUAGAAUCAUACAGUGAAUAUUCUUUUGUGUCUAGCUUGUUUUACUUAUUAUGUUUGUGAAAUCUACAAUAUUGUAUACAAUACUUUUUUUGCAUUCUC